rnacentral:rRNA from 1 species
CCUACGUGAGGCUGCAGUGGGGAAUAUUGGGCAAUGGGCGCAAGCCUGACCCAGCAACGCCGCGUGAAGGAAGAAGUCUUUCGGGUUGUAAACUUCUUUUCUCAGGGACGAAGCAAGUGACGGUACCUGAGGAAUAAGCCACGGCUAACUACGUGCCAGCAGCCGCGGUAAUACGUAGGUGGCAAGCGUUAUCCGGAUUUACUGGGUGUAAAGGGCGUGUAGGCGGGAAAGCAAGUCAGAUGUGAAAACCAUGGGCUCAACCUGUGGCCUGCAUUUGAAACUGUUUUUCUUGAGUACUGGAGAGGCAGACGGAAUUCCUAGUGUAGCGGUGAAAUGCGUAGAUAUUAGGAGGAACACCAGUGGCGAAGGCGGUCUGCUGGACAGCAACUGACGCUGAGGCGCGAAAGCGUGGGGAGCAAACAGGAUUAGAUACCCGGGUAGUC